UCAUCAGCAUGGCAGCUGGGGGUCACUGGGACUCCAGAUAGAUUAAAUAACCUGCCCAAGGUCACUCUCCAAGGUCACAGCCCUUCUGUCAUCCAGCAGCAUCUGAAUCUGAAUCUAUAUGACUCCAAAACCACUGCUCUUCUGGCUACAUUUAUUACCACAUUUCCUUAUUAGCCUGAAAAUCGAAAUUUGAAAAACAGUUUCUUGGCCCUCUGAUACUACUUAGAAUUUUAUCUUUGAUCGACAGAUCAAAGACCAUAGUGAGAAUCUUAUUAACGCUCUGAAACUUCUCGCAAUAAAAUCAACGUAAACAGAGAAUGUUCCAUAAAACUCCAGGACUUUCAUGCAUUCCCAGAAACCUAUUCUGGGGACGCCCAGGUCAUCGCUGCAGGAAAGAAGGAGAGGACAAACAUCUAUCACCAUAAUGGCCGCAAAGACAAAGAUCUGAUUUGACUUUGUGAUAAUGCAUGGCUCUGAUCACCCUGUGCCCUCCUAGAUAUGGAGUCUUCAGAGAAAGCUACAAGCAAAGAGGGCUGGUGGCUCAGUCCUAACCGGGUCUCAGGAUGAGGAAUGACAAUGUUUGGAAGCAUCUUCAACAUAAUUGUGGUACCCAAGAGAACUUUCAAGAUACAAGCCAGCAGUAAAAUAGUUGUAGAACUGAAGAGCAAAGCAGAAACUGUAAAUGAAUUAUUAUAACCGCUCCAACUCAGUGUAAAGUUUUUGCUUCUAAGGGCAUAACACUCAGAUACCUACUGAGCGUAUGUACGUGCAUCUGUGAACCGCAAUGGUUAAUCAAGUUAAAAUUCAAGGUUGGGGUUUUGGUUUCUUGUUUUGUUCUGUUCACAUGAGAAGGGGAGAUAUGGAACAGUUGAAUUACUCGAAGUCUCCCUAAAAUUGGUGGUGGCAGGGCUUAGUCCAAUGUCCUCUCUUUGUUCCUACUCUAGUGUAGACUAGGGGUAGGCAAACUUCUCCUUUAAAGGUCAGACACUAAACAUUUUAGGCGUUGCAAGCCAUACUGUCCUUGUAUCCACUACUCCACUAUGCCACUGGAGCGUGGAACCAGCCAUAGACAAUAACAAGGAAUCAGUGUGUGCUCCAGCAAGAUUUUCGUUUCCCAACAGGCUGCUGGCUGGAUCCCGCCGGCAGAUGGUAAAUUGCCGACACCUGGCUCUAACUACAAAUUCCCUCACGGCCAUUUAUUAAUUACAGGAUUGGAUCUAGUUGUUCGAUCUCUCUCCACCUCGGUUUCCUCCCCCAGUGAAACACACUUUUUCCCACAGUGACAACAGUGUUUCUCGGAUACAUUUACCCUAAGUGGUUUAAAUAGAACAGGGUUCGGGGAAUCUCACU